GCCGAGGUAGCUCAGCUGGUAAGAGCGGGCGUUUCAUAAGCGCCAGGUCGUGGGUUCGAGUCCCACUCUCGGCA
rnacentral:tRNA from 1 species